AGAGGAGAGAGCCACAAGCAGACGGAAACUGGGGUCUUUUUGGCCGGAUUUUCUUUCUCAAUCCCGCCUACUAUGGUGCCCUUUGCCUAAACCCUGCUAUACCCUUUUCCCUUUUCUUUACCAAAUCUCUAUAUGUUAGGCGAGGAGGCCGAGUUACUGUUCACGUGAACGGUACCCUCCACCCGUUGACUUUUCCAACGAUAUGUGAUCAGCCCAACCCACCGCUAUCCCAAAAGAAAGCCCACCGCUAUACCAAAAGAAACUAGCUAAAGAAAAAAAAAAAAAACCUAUCAUAUUAACUCUCUCUGUCUCUCUCACUCACCGCCAAUUUCCCUCAGCUCUUCUGUAUCUCCUUCGUCACUCUUCACCGUCUCAGCCUUCAACCGCCGUCGUGACCGCCGCUCAAGCCUUUGCCCCAAAACCAAAGCACAGCUGUCGUCUUGCUCAUAGUCGCCUUCGGUUUCUCACUUUUGGUUUGCCGUUGCGGUUCCUCACUUUUUUCCUUUGUAGGGUUCUGCAAUUUUCUGGGUUUAAUUGGAUUUGGUUGGUUUCUUCGGACUGAUUGUGCAAGGUUGUAAUAGAGCUCUUUGAACAACUUCGAGUUGUGGAAGUAUUUGCGCAGGAGUUGUUCGCUCUUAUUUCAAAAGUUGCUGCGGUGGAAAAGAAGCAGCAGUUGAAUUCUGUGCCUCAAAUAGAUAUCGUGAAAAAAAAGCGUAAAGACAAUUCAAACCAACUCAACGUGCUUCAAUGAGUUCAGAACAACGAAGCAAACAUAAUCUUCGGACAUCAAAAAGAACGCGCAUAAGUCAUAUCCAGCAAAUGCAUAAUAAUGAGGAUAAUGAAAAUGCAAGGGAGAAUGACAAUCCUGCAUUCAUCAAUGAAGGAAACUCUAUAAAUCUAUUCCUCAAAUUGACAUGCCUUACAGUGAUGGUAUGGUGCAAGUACGUCGCAGAGGCAAAGGAUGUAGAGCUCAUAAUUGUGCCCGAAAUUUUCAUGAAAUUAUUGGAGUCACAAAAUGUCGUCUACCGACACCAAGAUCAUGUCGAUAUUGUUGUGCUCGCCUAUUCCAUCAUGAAAGCAAUGAUAUGUGUUGUUUGAACGGGAAAACUAUUAUUCCUAUAAUUCAAUGCCCACCUGAGAUGUUACAACUAUUUUCCACUCAGACACUAGAAGGCACUCAUUUCAGACAACAUAUUCGAGCUUACAAUCAUGUCUUUUCUUUCACAUCAAUGGGCGUACAUGUUGAUGAAAAAUUAGCAACGGGUGGCUCAACAUUCACUUUUCGUGCUCAAGGAUCCAUAUAUCAUAAAAUAGGAAGUCUUUUACCGAAUGAGAAUAGUAGACCACGAUUUCUACAGUUGUACAUAUGACACAGAUCAUGAAGUGGACAAUCGUAUGUUAGAGAAUGAAAAAACAUUAUAUAGAAAUGUGGUUGAGACUAUUCAACAUAUUUUAAAUCAGCACAAUCCAUUUGUCCGA